CAGCACGGAGCCCGAUGCAGGGCUCGAACUCACGAAGCAUGAGAUCAUGACCUGAGCCGAAAUCAAGAGUAGGACGUUUAACUGACUGAGCCCCCCAGGUGCCCCAGCCCUUAUUAUUUUAAAGCUUAGUUACAACAUUUGUAAAACCUCAGUAGUGACAGAGAUAACACAAGUGUCCAGGUAAGUUACUGACCAUCUCCUGUUUAUUGACCAUGGAUUCUUACACUAGUCUUGUCGAGACAGUAUUGUGUCUCUAACUGGAGGCUGACCUUGAACUCUGCAAGUUUCUAGGUAGAUUUGAUAGGCCUCAUAAAUUCGAUGGGAUUUGGCAGGUGUUCAGGUAAUACGUGUAUUCCUAACACAGUUUUUGCCAUGAAUUUUUGUAGGACCCAAUCAAGAGAUAAUGGAAGGCCUUACAUCCUCUCUUGAUUAGAUACCAGAAAAAUCCCAAAUUACCUACUGUGGUCACGAAGAGCACUGGGUGAUGUAUGGAAUUGUUGAAUCACUGUAUUGUAUGCCUGAAAUUAAGAUUAUACUGCAUGUUAACUUUACUGGAAUUAAAAUUUUAAAAAUACAUAUAUAAGGGGAUUCAAACACAAUCCCAGUGAAAACAUAACAUGGAACAAGAUUUUCCAUUUUCAAUAGCUGCCUAUGAAAAAAAUCUUGCUCCAAUUCCUAAAAUGAGAAAAAGCAAAAAAUAAAAUCGAAUGAAUGAAUGAGCAAAUAAAUCAAUACAUAUUGUUGUCAGUUGAGCCAUCAUCUCUUGAUUUGUAUUUUUACAGACACCUGCUCAAGAGGAGAUCAUGUCUCUAUUCAAGGGUCUUGUCCCUGGAGCUUUGCAGGUGUCCAGGUAAUGUGUCCCUAAUCCAGAUAACGAUCAUGGGAUUUUGCAGUUACCCAAGCAAGAGACGACAUGCUCCUGCCAUGAUCUUGAUUCCCCUGCACAUGUCUAGGUGUCCAGACUUUUAAGGUAUUCUGGGAAGAGAUGAUGAUGGUCCUAACCACACUAAUGACGACAGAAAUUUGCACAUAUCCACUCAAGAGACGAUGGCAUCUCCGUCAACAUUGGUGGCUGUGGAGGUGGAAGAAAUAGAAUGCUUUUUUUUUUUUUUUUUUUGGAACUAUGUAAUUUGUUACAAGAAUUUUGACAUUCAAUGACUAGUAAAUGUUAUUCGAAAUUGUA